rnacentral:rRNA from 1 species
CCCUUAGAUGUUCUGGGCCGCACGCGCGCUACAAUGGUCUUCGCAAACGGAUGCAUUCUCGAAGGAGAAUGCCAAUCUUGGAAUCUAUGCCUUGGUCGGGACAGUUGCUUGCAAUUUUUCGACUCGAACCAGGAAUUCCUUGUAAUCGUGAUUCAUCACAUCACGAUGAAUACGUCCCUGCCCUUUGUACACACCGCCCGUCGCUCCUACCGAUCGAAGAGUUAGGUGAAUUGUUUUGAUCGAUAAGAUUUGACUAUGGUCAACUCUCGUUGGGAAAUUCUGUGAAUCUGACUGUUUAGAGGAAGGAAAAGUCGUAACA